UACGUAGGGUGCGAGCGUUGUCCGGAAUUACUGGGCGUAAAGAGCUCGUAGGUGGUUUUGUCGCGUUUGUCCGUGAAAAACUCACAACUCAAUUGUGGGCGUGCGGGCGAUACGGGCAGACUGGAGUACUGCAGGGGAGACUGGAAUUCCUGGUGUAGCGGUGGAAAUGCGCAGAUAUCAGGAGGAACACCGGUGGCGAAGGCGGGUCUCUGGGCAAGUAACUGACGCUGAGGACGAGAACUGGGGAGCAAACAGG
rnacentral:rRNA from 1 species